GUGUCAGCCGCCGCGGUAAUACGGAGGGUGCAAGCGUUAUCCGGAAUCAUUGGGUUUAAAGGGUCCGUAGGCGGAUAAUUAAGUCAGAGGUGAAAUCCCACAGCUUAACUGUGGAACUGCCUUUGAUACUGGUUGUCUUGAAUUAUAGUGAAGUAGAUAGAAUGUGUAGUGUAGCGGUGAAAUGCUUAGAUAUUACACAGAAUACCGAUUGCGAAGGCAGUUUACUAACUAUAUAUUGACGCUAAUGGACGAAAGCGUGGGGAGCGAACAGGAUUAGAAACCCUGGUAGUCC
rnacentral:rRNA from 1 species